GUGAUUCCUGCCGAGGAAGCUGCCGAAGAAUUCCAGGAAAGGCUACAGGCCCAUCUGAAGACUCUGAGAGCCGAGAGAGAAAAGCUGCUGGGACUGAAAGUGAGCAGAGAGGAGACCAGCCGGGAGUACCUGAAACGGACACAAGUCGAGCGGCGGAAGGUUGUGGCCGAGUUUCAGCAGCUGCG